UCUAACGUUGUUGAUCCAGUUAUACUGUUGAUUCAGCUCUGCAGAGCUAAAUUCAUGGACAAUGGUGAAGUGCGCAUUUGCAGUUCAUUUGAUGCUACUCAACUGUUUUUCACACACUCAUGCAAAG